rnacentral:rRNA from 1 species
UACGGAGGGUGCGAGCGUUAAUCGGAAUAACUGGGCGUAAAGGGCACGCAGGCGGGCUUUUAAGUGAGGUGUGAAAUCCCCGGGCUUAACCUGGGAAUAGCAUUUCAGACUGGGAGUCUAGAGUACUUUAGGGAGGGGUAGAAUUCCACGUGUAGCGGUGAAAUGCGUAGAGAUGUGGAGGAAUUCCGAAGGCGAAGGCAGCCCCUUGCCAACGAACUGACCCUCAUGUUCGAAAGCUUGGGGAGCAAACAUG